rnacentral:rRNA from 1 species
GGGGAAUAUUGGACAAUGGGCGAAAGCCUGAUCCAGCCAUGCCGCGUGAGUGAUGAAGGCCUUAGGGUUGUAAAGCUCUUUCAGUGGGGAAGAUAAUGACGGUACCCACAGAAGAAGCCCCGGCUAACUUCGUGCCAGCAGCCGCGGUAAUACGAAGGGGGCUAGCGUUGUUCGGAUUUACUGGGCGUAAAGCGCACGUAGGCGGAUCGUUAAGUCGGGGGUGAAAUCCUGGAGCUCAACUCCAGAACUGCCUUCGAUACUGGCGAUCUUGAGUCCGGAAGAGGUGAGUGGAACUCCUAGUGUAGAGGUGGAAUUCGUAGAUAUUAGGAAGAACACCAGUGGCGAAGGCGGCUCACUGGUCCGGUACUGACGCUGAGGUGCGAAAGCGUGAGUAGCGAAC